UUGCUACAGCAGCAAAUAUACUAAAAUUGGAAUGAUGCAGAUAUUAGCAUGGCCCCUGCACAAGAAGGACAUGCAAAUUUGUGAAGUGUUACAUAUUUUU
rnacentral:snRNA from 1 species